CCUUUUCUUUUUUGCUUUGCAUUGUCUGUUAUUAGAUGCAGAGCUUCUUUAUGUCUUUUUUUUUUUUUUUUUACUUUAGUGAUAAAAGAGAAUUGGACUGGUUUUGAGUCUGUUAAUGGCUUGGGCCCCAACAUCAUGUGAGAAACAUAAAGGCAAAACUCUUGGAAAGUAUCACGUGUCGGUGAUUUGCUUGCAGAUCUUAUAGUUCCCCAUUUCUUGUAGGUGGUUUAAAUGCUCCAUAACUGGCUGUAAAGUUCAUAUGAAACCCAGUUCUUUUUAGUUUUCUGUAUGAUUUAUGGUUAGAUCUUCGGAGUCAUGAAACUGAUCUGCUGUAAAAAAUCUUGAGCCCUUGUUUUGUGUUCUUUUUCCCUAAGUCUUCCUGUCUAUGUCAACUGUAGACAUUUGAGCUACUGGUAUUUGUUUUCCAUGUUUUCAGUUGAUGGUUUUGUCUUAGCAGUGCAUUUAUUGUUUUAGUUCAGAGUAAAUGGGGAUGUUUCUUUCUUUACUGAUUAAAUGUCUUCUGUUUGAAUUUUUUUGGCCACAGUAUUUAGAAAGAUCUGAUAAUAAAACUUUCGAGGGUUACAUUAGUUGAGUACUUACAAAUUUUUCUGAUACCAUGAAAUACAAAGAUGGGAGACAAAAUUCUCAACCAGAUAAAGUUUCCAGGAUUGUUUCCAUUACAAUACUUCUUGUUGUAUUAUGUGGAGUUUCUUUCUAUCUUGGUGGGGCUUUUUGUUCCGAGAAAAACAGAUUUGAGGGUAAGGAUAUCAAGGAUGUUAAAAAAGCAGUCCCAGGCCCUAAGGAAUUGAUUGUGACCCCACUUCAAAUCAAAGAAGUUGCCUUCCCAGAAUGCAGCCUUGAUUAUCAAGACUACACCCCAUGCACAGAUCCAAAGAGGUGGAAAAAGUAUGGAACUCAUCGCCUUACUUUUAUGGAACGCCAUUGUCCCCCUGUGUUUGAGAGAAAGGAGUGUUAAUCCACCCCCUGA